CCCUACGGGGUGCACCCGGAACGCGCUUGUCCGUGAUACACUCGGCAUUCAUACCAUCAAACAGCAUCAGCCCUCGAUGCGAAAGAUAGACGAGACCUGCAUGUGUAUUUUGCACGGAAUGCGGCGCAUAACAUCCGUUCUCGGCUUUCGUCUUGGUCCUGGAAAGCCUUGUCGGAGUAGUCCCGUCAAGGCGAUACAAACCAUCCUCGCACAACACAAUGAGACCCUGUGCGUAUGACGCCAAUGCGACAGGCUUGUAUUCGAACGCUAUGGCCAUAGAGUCAGGCCAAGCAUCCUGUUGCCCUACUGGGGUCCACCUGACAUCAUAUCCAUCAAUACCAAACAGCAUCCCAUAAUGCUGCGUAACACCAACAAGCCCAAUUGGCGGGAGGGC
rnacentral:rRNA from 1 species